CCAGACUCCUACGGGAGGCAGCAGUGGGGAAUAUUGCACAAUGGGGGGAACCCUGAUGCAGCGACGCCGCGUGGGUGAAGGAGCACCUCGGUGCGUAAAGCCCUAUCGGCAGGGAAGAAAAGCGAACAGGUUCGCCUGGACGGUACCUGACUAAGAAGCCCCGGCUAACUACGUGCCAGCAGCCGCGGGAAUACGUAGGGGGCAAGCGUUAUCCGGAUUUACUGGGUGUAAAGGGAGCGUAGACGGCAAGGCAAGUCUGGAGUGAAAGCCCGUGGCCCAACCACGGGACUGCUUUGGAAACUGUGUUGCUGGAGUGCAGGAGGGGUAAGCGGAAUUCCUGGUGUAGCGGUGAAAUGCGUAGAUAUCAGGAGGAACACCGGUGGCGAAGGCGGCCUGCUGGACUGCAACUGACGUUGAGGCCCGAAAGCGUGGGGAGCAAACAGGAUUAGAUACCCGUGUAC
rnacentral:rRNA from 1 species